rnacentral:ncRNA from 1 species
CCCGGCUACUCCAUUACCAUAGCCGGCGGAAGGAGACAAAAGGAGGAAAAGAACGCCGCCGGGCCGGCGGUGCGGCAGUGUGGAGACCUGCCGUAAGGCUGUGGAGGCAACGCCCCUCCACGGCGAGAGGGAGCGCGCGGAGGCGGCUCACUCACGGCCUUUCGCUAUGGCA